CUUAAUUGUUGGAGUUCCCCCCUUUAGAAGAUGCUUAUCAAGAACAGCUGUCGCAGCAUGGCUUUCUCCACGAACUCAUGGUGGUCUUUGGAAGAAUGUUCAAGUUUGACAGGUUCAAGAAGGAAGCAGUGGCAUUACAGACUGGCUCUCACGAGCAGCGAUGGGAAGAUGGAAGAAUGAAGCACUAGAGAGAGGGAUGCCUAUGCCUCCUUUUCAGUGAACUUUGUUCCUGAUCCUAUUUUUUUUCUUCAAAACCACCUGCUUAUUAAAGAGAGGAAGGGAGCACAGGCAGAGAAAUAAAUACUGCGUGAGCCACCUCACCCUCGUGCCAGACAUCCAGACACAUGCCACUCAUAACACAGCAUGAGUAAUGGCUUAAUUGAAAUGUAAUAAUAUAUAUUCAUUCAAAAUGUCUUUAUCAUACUUUAGAUCGUGUUGGUGUUUCUGUUCAUACGCACUUCUCAGACUUCAUCUUCACCACUCAGGUGUACACUCUCUUCCCUAGCUACCAAACCAGUUAAUGGCUUUACUCCUAGACUCUUACCAGUACCUUCCUUUGUUCUGCUGUGCCAGUUGUAACAUUGUCCUUCAGUUAUUCAAGUUAUCCCUGACUUACUGUGAUUGAUGUAAGAAGGUACCCUCCUUGAAAUUGAGCCUUCAGUUGAUGGGAUUCAGUGGUCUAACUCUUGUUACUAUGUCUUCAGAGUUCCCUCUCAGUUGCUGUACUUCAGAAUGUGCAGCAGCAGUUACAUAUGUAAAACCUUCCUCAUGAGAUUUAUUAGAGCAAAGGUACCAUUUGUUUGCUUGUGUUCUGAGAUACACUGUAAAAGAUUAUCCAGACCUCCAGAGAUGCUGGCUGUGCUGAGAGGGAGGCUGGACAUGUGAGGAAAUGGUAUGUCCUUCAUCAGUGAGAAGCUCAUUUCUUCCUUCAUACUUACCAUGAGAUCAUUUUUCCUGAGGAACUUAGGGAACAAAAUCCCAAGUUGACUGGUGCAUUUUACCUACCAUAUUUUUUUUCCCCACAAGUUAAAAGUCUAUGAAGACACUUUAUAUAAGAGUUUAAGGCCGAGCGGUGGUGGCGCACACCUGUAAUCCUAGCACUCUGGGAGGCAGAGGCAGGCGGAUUUCUGAGUUCAAGGCCAGCCUGGUCUACAGGGUGAGUUCCAGGCAGCCAGGGAUAUACAGAGAAACCCUGUCUCGAAAAACAAACAAAAAACCAAAACCAACCAACCAACCAAACAAACAAAACCCCAAAAAAUCCAAAAAGAGUUUAAGAUAUUUCUGAAAGUACAACUUAUAUCUUUAUAAGUAAUAAGUAAUAAUUAUACGUAGUAAUUCAGUUGUGAUAAAUCAAUUCUAUUUUUAGUAAUUAAUUCAGUGUUAAUAGAUUCCUACUUCUCAUUGACUGCCACUAUGUUCAUGGUAAUGAAAUAAGAUCAGGAAGUUUUCUCAGUAAGUCAAAUUUGCUUGCUUGAUCUAGGUUUGAGUUUUACUUUAUGUUGGAUGGAAAAUAUUUAAACAGUAAUAAGGCAUUAAGUAAAACUGAUAACUGCAUUGUAUUAUUUUUCUUAAUGAAAUAUUUAUAUGAAAUAUUUUCUUUUUAAUAGAAAAUGAAUUGCAAUCAGUAGUAAAACCCUGAAAUCACCAUGGUGCUCUUGUGUCGUGGUCACAAUUGUAUGCUGUGGAGAAGUGCUUCUGUUGGGAGAGCAAGAGCUGUAUUUAUGUCUUUUACUGAGCUGGAGCCUGUUGGGGUCCAGAACAGCAUUAGCUCACUCUGUCUUUGUGCAACACAUCAGGAGUCUUCUCCUGUGCAUCUCCAUGGCCCUUUGAUUCUGCAUUUCUAUCCUUUAAAACCCUAUUCCUCUCUAUGAUCCAAGGCAAAUUUUAAUAGUUUCUGAAGCUAAAUGGUUUGGCAAAGUGCCAGGAUGUAAAGACUCACGCUAAGUCAUAGGGUUUCCAGCUGUCACACACACUGGGUGGGACUGGUCCUCUCUAGUUAUUAUCACACAAAUUCUUUCAUAUGGAUCAGUGUAAAUAAAGCAGGGGAGGAGGCUAGAACAGGAAGAUGAAAGAAGGACAAAUCAAUGAAGAGUUUGGAGAAAGUGUCAGCAAGUAUGAAAGGAAGAGGACCCCAAAGCAGUGUGUCGUCAGGAGUCAACCACUGUUGCAAAGAGCAGAGCAGCACCUCUGUUGAGAUCACUGGCUGUGGACAGCAUUGCUCUUUACUUAGAUGUCAGUUACUCCACACUCUGGGGGAACAGUAUGCUAAUGCCCUAAGACUUGGUUUACAGCCAGCAUGGUGGCACACACUUGUAAUCCCAGCACUGGGGAGGCAGAGGCAGGCGGAUUUCUGAGUUCGAGGCCACCCUGGUCUACAGAGUGAGUUCCAGGGUAGCCAGGGCUACACAGAGAAACCCUGUCUUGAAAAACAAAAAACAAAACAA